AAUUUACCCAUUGGAAAAAAUGUGAAAUUUUUCAUCUUCUGUAUUUUUCUUUCCAAAAUUUUUCCUUCUAAGCUCGUAAACAAAACUUAAUUACCUAUCUCAUUUAUAUUCUAUUUACACACUUCUUCACACAACUCAACACUCCAUUAUAUGUGAAUCAGUUCACCCUUCACAACAACUUUUCACUUUCUCUCUUGUAACCGUCGUCAAAAUCCUAGUUUCUUCUCCUUCAUCCACCAAAGAGGGGUGAUUUAGGGUCAAUUCAACCCUAGUUUCGUCGUCUUCGUGCGACGUUGGUUUGUUCGUCGUCUUUGUACGACGUUGUUUGUUUUUCUUGUUUCUCUCAGGUAUUUGAUCGGUUCAGAUUGUCAGAUCAGCUUCGAUCCAGUGCAGAUCCAAUCAAUGACUUUAUAUAUAGUCAUAUGUGUAAACAAUUGUACUUUGCUGUUUUAUACUAUUAACAUGGAUAAUAUGAGCCUAUUUA
rnacentral:lncRNA from 1 species